CUUGGCAUAAAUAUGUUAACAAGUGUGUUGGAAUUGUUAUAACAUGAUUCUUUGCUCAUUAAGGAAACAUUACUUGGUAGCAGCUGCAAAGGCAACAUUUGACAGCAUCUGUCAUAUCUCUAUGGGCACUAAUUCCACGGAACACUUUCUGCUGGGAGUGUCUGGAGUAACUCAGAGCUGUUGUUUACUUAAAGUGCUGGACCAGAUAAAACUUAAGCUUGUGUAUUAAAAGACUGGGAGAAAAGACCCUUCUGGAUAUCAACCACAACAGACGACACACCACAAGCAAGAGCACCGUAAGAUGGUUAAAGAAAGUUAUAUGAAAUUAAAGUUGCUGAAAUAUUCAUAUACGCAGAACUCGGAGUGAAAUUCUGGAUACUGUGAAGAUGAAUUCCUCAAGACGAAUACACUCUCUCCGGGCACACAGACAAAGGAUACCUGUAACCUAUGUGGACACCUGGCAUAAUCAGUCUUGCAGCUGUGCAGACCAAUGGUGCAUUGAUGAACUAGCCACAUACCUAUUAAUUACCGUGAUUAUUUUAAUUGCAAUAUUGGGGGCUUGGGCAAAAAAGGAUGUAUAUGUGUAGCUGUUCAUGGAUUUGAACACAAGUACCAUAACAUAUAUGAUAAAGGAAGAGCCUGUCAACGCCUCUCCCUGCUGAAAGUUAUGACUGUCUGAAACCUGCAAUAUGUUUGGAUUUGCUGGCUGAAGAAAAUAGCAGCUUAUUAUCUUCAAAGUUUUAUUUGAAGGAUAUUUAUAAGUAGAGACAAAUGACAAUAGGAAUUACAACUUGAAGCAAAUAAAAAUCUUAUUUAAAUGAU